CUGCUUUUUUGGUGGGGUAAUAAAAUUACUAAAGAUUUUGUACUAGUGCUCACUGACUGGCCAAUCAGAUGUUAAGUUCAGAGGCCAUAUUUGCAUUUGAUUUAACAUGUCCAGACUCUGGCUCAACAACAGAAAUGCAGCUAAAAAUCAAGAACAGUUGCAUUGUUUUGUGAUGAGAUUUUGGUGAAUUCUCAGAAAAUGGUUAUCCCCAGAGAGCCCAAACAUAAGUACAUGGAUGGAAAUCACAAUGGAAAUUUAUAACAUGGAAAAGAUAACAGCUUCUGUUAACCACAAGCUGGAGAAAUUUACAUCAUAUUGGGAAAACUGGGUUAAAUAUAUCACGCCUCAUAGGCCAGAUUUUACUAUUACAAACCAAUAAUUAUGAUGUAUGUAUAUAUAUUUAUAGGAUCACCCCAUACCAACACAGCUGUGUUUUUUUUUUUUUUUUUUUCUCUUUUCUUAGGUUUGUUAGUUUUGUUUUUUGUUUUUUGAUUUUCGGAUUAUGUGAUGGUUUCAAUUACUUCUAUCGUUGUAAGUAUUCUUCCCUUAUGACUUGGAUGUAAAUUAAAAUACUAUUUCAGUAUUUAAGGCAGAUAACCUAAGUAUGAAGAAUGCUUACAUGAUGUACAUACUGUGAAUGCCUGCUUUUGAAACCUUAAUAAAAAUAUGAAUUAAAAAAAAAAAAAGAGAUUUUGGUGAAUUCUGGAAAAAAAAAAAAGACAACUGUUUAUUCUCAUAUUUCAGCUGCAUUGCGGUUUACAAGCCAUUAAAGCAUGGAGACUAGGGAUGUGUUCUUUCUGACUAUGAUGAAUUGCCUGCAGCUUAUCAACAUGAGUUGGCAUAUGGUGUGAGGACAUGGCUUGACGGGGUGUCAAUCAGUCUGUCUGAUAUAAAUGUGCUCAUAAGAUUUUCUUCACCCAUAGUGAGGAGUAUUCCCAAGAUGUGCCUUAAGUAAGCAUCAGUCUAGUGUAAGGAUGUUUUGAGGGAGAUUUUCUUCAGUGUUAGACUAUACAAGUGCCAUCUGCAGGUGUUUGAUUUAGGAUUUAGAGGUUUUUUUUUUUACAGCAGAGACAUUUUAAUUGUAGCAAAUGAAAAACAAAACAUUGCUGGCAUUUUUUCAUUUUUUUAGUCACCUUAUCAGUUCCAUAGCGUUUUUAAUGUAAUAUAAAACCAGAUAUUUAGAGAGACUGAUCAAGGUUAUGCACAAAGUACAUGACAGCAAUUUUAUAUAUAAAGAGUGGAUGGAAACAGUAUUUUUUAGCAAUGUUUAGAGAUAAGCUCAUAUAACACCAUCUAACAGAAGUGUUAUGCGACAUGUGUGGCAAAGGAUGUUUCAAGCUAUCAUAUCAUCAACCCACAUAUUAUUUUAUGGAUUAUUGAAGUACAGUGUUCCCUCGUUUAUCGCAGGUGUUACGUUCUAACAAUAACCCGCGAUAAGUGAAAUCCGCGAAGUAGCAAACUUUUUUUUUUUUACAAUUAUUACAGAUGUUUUAGGGGUGUAAAACCCCUCACUACACACUUUAUACACUUUUCUCAGACAGGCAUAGACAUUUUCCCACGUUUCUGUCUUGUUUAAACACUCUCAAAUUCAAACCUUCGUAGAAAAAUAAGUCCAGUAUUAUAGAAUGAAACCAAAGGUCAAAUCCUGUUUUCAGGUCCAAAACAUGGGACUAGUCCUUUGACGUCGACACUGUUGUGUUUGUUGUCUUCUACUAGCAAAGAUUUAGGUAAAUUUGACAAGCUGGACACAUUCUGUACUGAUUGAUUGAAAAUGGUCUACAGCCAAUCAGGACGGAGAACACAAUGUGCUGUUAAAAAAAAAAAAUCCUUGCAAAAUUGCACCCCCCAAAAAAUCUGCAAAACAGCGAGCCUGCGAAAACUGAACCGCGAUAUAGCGAGGGACCACUGUAUUCGGAUUCUGAUUAUUCUGAUUUGGGGUUUUUUUUUUUUAUAAUUUUUUGCUUCUAGAAUUAUUCAGCGGUAAGAAUCUGAUGUUAACAGCUUUAGUAAAUCAUUUCGAUCAAAUAUUGCUUUGUUUUUAGCAACAAUUUGAUGAAAUUUGGCAGUAAUAUUCAUAAAGACUGGGCCGAGAAUGUAAGAAAAAGUGCUUUUAAAGCAACAAAUGUAAAUUUUUUUUCGCCCAUAAUAAGUGUCCAUACCAAAUUGUGAUUGCUAUAGCAAUCACAAUUUGG
ensembl:lncRNA